rnacentral:rRNA from 1 species
AACGAACGCUGGCGACAUGCCUAACACAUGCAAGUCGAACGAGAUCUUCGGGUCUAGUGGCGCACGGGUGCGUAACGCGUGGGAAUCUGCCCUUUGGUUCGGAAUAACAGUUGGAAACGACUGCUAAUACCGGAUGAUGACGAAAGUCCAAGGAUUUAUCGCCAGAGGAUGAGCCCGCGUAGGAUUAGCUAGUUGGUGUGGUAAAGGCGCACCAAGGCGACGAUCCUUAGCUGGUCUGAGAGGAUGAUCAGCCACACUGGGACUGAGACACGGCCCAGACUCCUACGGGAGGCAGCAGUGGGGAAUAUUGGACAAUGGGCGAAAGCCUGAUCCAGCAAUGCCGCGUGAGUGAUGAAGGCCUUAGGGUUGUAAAGCUCUUUUACCCGGGAUGAUAAUGACAGUACCGGGAGAAUAAGCUCCGGCUAACUCCGUGCCAGCAGCCGCCGUAACAC